rnacentral:rRNA from 1 species
AACGGAGGGAGCGAGCGUUAUUCGUAGUGAUUGGGCGUAAAGGGUACGUAGGCGGUUUAUAAAUGAAUUAAUAAAAUUCCACAGUAAAAAUGUGGGGUAUUAAAUAAAAAAAUAAACUAGAGUUUCAUGGAGGUUUGUAGUACUCCCGAGGUAGUUUAGUCUGAACGUAAAUCUCACGGGGACUCCUAAAAGUGAAAACAGCAAAUCAUGUGAAGCUGACGCUGAGGUACGUAGGUAUGGGGAGCGAAUGGG